GGGGGAUUAGCUCAGCUGGGAGAGCACCUGCUUUGCAAGCAGGGGGUCGUCGGUUCGAUUCCGUCAUCCUCCACCA
rnacentral:tRNA from 2 species